AUUGAACGCUGGCGGCAGGCCUAACACAUGCAAGUCGAAUGGUAACAGGAAACCGCUUGCUGUUUCGCUGACGAGUGGCGGACGGGUGAGUAAUGUCUGGGAAACUGCCUGAUGGAGGGGGAUAACUACUGGAAACUGUAGCUAAUACCGCAUAACGUCGCAAGACCAAAGAGGGGGACCUUCGGGCCUCUUGCCAUCAGAUGUGCCCAGAUGGGAUUAGCUAGUAGGUGGGGUAACGGCUCACCUAGGCGACGAUCCCUAGCUGGUCUGAGAGGAUGACCAGCCACACUGGAACUGAGACACGGUCCAGACUCCUACGGGAGGCGGCAGUGGGGAAUAUUGCACAAUGGGCGAAAGCCUGAUGCAGCCAUGCCGCGUGUAUGAAGAAGGCCUUCGGGUUGUAAAGUACUUUCAGCGGGGAGGAAGGGAGUAAAGUUAAUACCUUUGCUCAUUGACGUUACCCGCAGAAGAAGCACCGGCUAACUCCGUG
rnacentral:rRNA from 1 species